GGGCAGAUAGUUCAGUCUGGUUAGAACGCUGGUCUCACAUACCAGAGGUCGGAGGUUCAAAUCCUCCUCUGCCCA
rnacentral:tRNA from 1 species